rnacentral:rRNA from 1 species
GACGAACGCUGGCGGCGUGCUUAACACAUGCAAGUCGAACGGAAAGGCCCUGCUUUUGUGGGGUGCUCGAGUGGCGAACGGGUGAGUAACACGUGAGUAACCUGCCCUUGACUUUGGGAUAACUUCAGGAAACUGGGGCUAAUACCGGAUAGGAGCUCCUGCUGCAUGGUGGGGGUUGGAAAGUUUCGGCGGUUGGGGAUGGACUCGCGGCUUAUCAGCUUGUUGGUGGGGUAGUGGCUUACCAAGGCGUCGACGGGUAGCCGGCCUGAGAGGGUGACCGGCCACAUUGGGACUGAGAUACGGCCCAGACUCCUACGGGAGGCAGCAGUGGGGAAUAUUGCACAAUGGGCGGAAGCCUGAUGCAGCAACGCCGCGUGCGGGAUGACGGCCUUCGGGUUGUAAACCGCUUUCGCCUGUGACGAAGCGUGAGUGACGGUAAUGGGUAAAGAAGCACCGGCUAACUACGUG